rnacentral:rRNA from 1 species
GAUGAACGCUGGCGGCGUGCCUAAUACAUGCAAGUCGAGCGAACGGACGAGAAGCUUGCUUCUCUGAUGUUAGCGGCGGACGGGUGAGUAACACGUGGAUAACCUACCUAUAAGACUGGGAUAACUUCGGGAAACCGGAGCUAAUACCGGAUAAUAUUUUGAACCGCAUGGUUCAAAAGUGAAAGACGGUCUUGCUGUCACUUAUAGAUGGAUCCGCGCUGCAUUAGCUAGUUGGUAAGGUAACGGCUUACCAAGGCAACGAUGCAUAGCCGACCUGAGAGGGUGAUCGGCCAAACUGGAACUGAGACACGGUCAAGACUCCUACGGGAGGCAGCAGUAGGGAAUCUUCCGCAAAGGGCGAAAGCCUGACGGAGCAACGCCGCGUGAGUGAUGAAGGUCUUCGGAUCGUAAAACUCUGUUAUUAGGGAAGAACAUAUGUGUAAGUAACUGUGCACAUCUUGACGGUACCUAAUCAGAAAGCCACGGCUAACUACGUG